UUGGGCGACGUAGUGGUCAUCGCGGACUCCAAUCUACCGAGGAAUUGCUGGCCGAAGGGCAAAGUGAUUCACACGCGUGUCGGCCGAGACGGGCAGAUCCGAUCUGCAACUGUUCAAACAGCGAGAGGUGUGUACGAACGACCUGCAACGAAGCUGGCAGUGUUGGACGUUCGUCGCGAUGAGGUGUAAGCCAAUCAGAAGUUGGCGUACCUGGGGGGACUGUUAGCAGACUCAAUAUCAGUCUGCGCGCAUCAUAACCAAACUGCCAGCACUGUUCACUACCACAGACAUCAGCUGCGGAAUACACCACCUUCGCAAUCCGCCUUGAUAGCCAAUACAAUCACGCAGCAGCAAGUGACAGACAGUACCUCGUGACAGCAGGAAGAAAGAAUAAAACAAAAACCCAUCAGAUAGUAGAAGUAGUGCAUCUAAAUUUACUUAUAAUAAGCUAAAACUAAUUAAAACUACUUAAGCUAAUUUAUACUAAGUGAAUUACACCACCACCGUAUAACCUACAAGAUACAAAAACCGUUCCGUGCCGAUUUCGGUAUUCAAUUAGGCCCGAAGAUCGUGAAUCAAAUUCUAUCGCCUGUUUCUAGUUGGCACGUCAGGACUGUGCAGUUUCCUACCGUCAGGUACCCUAUAACCGUCUGCUUAGGAAAGUUAGUAAACGUAAGUAAAUAUGGAAAUUGAAAUAGCUGAAACAAAACAUUAACAGAUUAUUUAUUGUCAUGAUACAGGAAUUUUGUAAUCCUUCUCCUACUUUGAAUAAAAUUGGAUUAACAAAUUCGGAAAUAUUUCUACGUCCUGUCUGUG